UUUCUAAUUGCCUCUGCUCCCAGUAAUCCACCAAAUCUAGUUGUCUCCGCUGAGUCCGCUCCCGUAAUCCACCAAUUCUACUUGUCUAGCUACGCUCCCCGCACGAAUCCACCGAAAUCAGAGCACCAAUGAUUUCCCUCACCCACAAAUUGAUCCCACAAAUGGAGUGUGAGGUGCUGCUGUUGGAGGACGAUGGCGGAUGUAGAAGAGUGCGCGAAGGUUGCCGGUCGUGUACUUGGAGAAGAUAGAGAACUUCUUGCACUUCGAUCUGGAAACCAUCCAUGUCCUGAUUCAUCGAAUGUGCAUAGGGAAACAUGGGGAAUCGCUUCAUAGUGCUGAUUUCGAGUCGGCCGGAUGCCACGGCCGAAGUUGGAACGAUCUGUACGAUGGGAACUACUUUCAGCCUUCUCUGUAGCCACUGAUUUAUGUCCAAAGUCCAGACUCCAGAGUCCUCACGUCCCCAAUAAAACCAUGGUCCAAAGUCCAGACUCCAGAGUGCUCACGCCCCCAAUAAAACCAUGGGAUGACUACAGAACACAGAACAAAUGUUAGCUGCUUCUGCUUGCUGAGGCGCGCCAUUGGUCUUCUUCGGCGCUCAGUCAAAUCACUUAUGCACGCCUUACUCGAAGUAAUCGUCAGCCUUUUUGUUUUACUCUUGCUGGUUAGCACGGCACUGCUCACCGGCAAAGGAUUGUGGUGCACUUGAUUACAAAGCAAGAAGUUGGAGGGAGUCUGCUUCUGCUUGCUAAGGCGCGUUAUUGGUCUUCUUCGGCAGCCGCAGCUGGUUCAAAUCACUUAUGCACGCCUUACUCCAAGUAAUCAUCAGCAUUUUUGUUUUGCUCCCGCUGGUUAGCAUGGCACUGCUCGACGGCAAAGGAUUGUGAUGCACCUGAUUACAAAGCAGGAGCUUGGAGGGAGUAGCAAUGACCUGGAUGAAAACUAUGUUUUGUCGCUUUGGAGUCUUGCCGUCUCCCCCUUGUCUUUUGAAAAUCAAUACCUGUAUAUUAAGCCAGCGAUUUCACUUGCCGAACUACUGCGGUUGAGAUUCACAGGCCAGCAUACUAACGCAGACUUGAAGGGGUGCCUCAUUGAGGUUGCUGACAACUUCAGCGGCUUCGGCGCAGGAAUUUAUUCAUAACUUAGAAGCUUGUUGUAUCUUCAGCCGAUCUUAUCGGAACACAUGCAUAAAGAUGAGCGUGAGGAUUAGAUGCCAGGAAAGUAUAUGAGUACAAUACCAGAAUACGUGUACUUGUUCAGUCACUGGUCGCUGGAUCGUUUCGCUCCGGUGCUGCACGACCGGAUCAUCUCAAUCGCCCAGAUCAUCUGGCUUCUGGUGCUAGACUGCUUGCACGAUCGGAUCAUCUCAAUCCACAGAUUUGAUAGUUGCAGAUCUAGAUGCACGUGCAAACCUAAGUGUGAGGAUCCAUAACGACACAUUAGAGAAGAUGACGGCGGCAUGAGGAUGAGAGGAGGACGUUGCCUUGAUAUUUUGCUUUAGGGCACACGCUAUUGCUUUUUUUAGAGAAGAACGCAUCAUUCAUUGAUCCAAUAAGAUUGAAAAGGU